GGAAGAGUGGCCGAGCGGCUGAAGGCUGCGGCUUGCUAAGCCGUUAUGCGGAGACACCCGCAUCGAGGGUUCGAAUCCCUUCUCUUCCGCCA
rnacentral:tRNA from 1 species